GCCUACGGGACGCAGCAGUGGGGGAUAUUGCACAAUGGGGGAAACCCUGAUGCAGCGACGCCGCGUGGGCGAAGAAGUAUUUCGGUAUGUAAAGCCCUAUCAGCAGGGAAGAAGAAAUGACGGUACCUGAGUAAGAAGCACCGGCUAAAUACGUGCCAGCAGCCGCGGUAAUACGUAUGGUGCAAGCGUUAUCCGGAUUUACUGGGUGUAAAGGGAGCGCAGGCGGCACGGCAAGCCUGAUGUGAAAGCCCGGGGCUCAACCCUGGGACUGCUCUGGAAACUGUAAAGCUGGAGUGCGGGAGGGG
rnacentral:rRNA from 1 species